ensembl:lncRNA
CAGCGAUGAAGUCGGCUUCCACUUUGUCCUUAUAUCGGCACUUUGCAGCUUUUACGACCUUCCUUAGGCCAUAAGCAGCCACUUUGUAGUCCAACAUGUCCCCCGUAGUAAUCCCAACAUUAUAGGCAGCAGUACGCGCUGAAAGUGCUGCCCUGACAGUUCCAUCUACCCAUGGCUUCUGAUUUGGGAAAACUUUUAUUUUGACUGAUGGUAUAAUGUCAUUUACCAGUAGGUGUAUGUAGUUCCCGACCACUUCCGCAAACUCACUGACGUUGUCGGAGGACUCCCGGAACAUUUCCCAGUCAGCGUUGUCAAGCGCGUCUUGCAGCAAGCCUUCUGAUUGGUCAUUCCAACGUUUUACUUCCUUAGUCACCACAGCUUCGUUAAGGAUCUUUUGCUUGUAUUUAGGGAGAAGGAGGAUGGCAACGUGAUCGGACUUUCCGAAUGCAGGCAGGGGGAUAGCCUUGUAGCUGUCCUUGAACGGAGUGUAGCAGUGAUCCAAGCUCGGAUAUGGCAGUAUCUGUGUUGGCUUGUGGGGGAAUGUAAACCGCGGUGGUGAUGAUUGCGGUGAACUCACGGGGUAGAUAGUGGGGGCGGCACAUAAUGGACAGAUGUUCCUGAUGGGGAGUACAGCCCUGGGAGAGAACGUGCCCUUCAAAGAGCGUGGUUCCUGUGGCCACCGUGAGUGAAUGACUCAGACAUGCAACGUGCAGUCAUGCUCCAGCUUGCAUGGGCAGAAGCUUCAAAGGGCAACAGGUCUAUAGUAAGGAGAGGAAGCAGUGGAGCGCGGAGAGGACAGGAGAGGAGAGGAGAGGAGCCCGGUCGCGCUGUGUUACUACAGGUACACUGAAGGCUGUUCUUGGUGGAGAAUUUUCCUUUGGGUUCGGUGGACCUCAUCCCUCUGUCCGCUCUGCCGGAGCCCCUGACCCGGACCGGCUCCGUCUCUCGAUCCCCGGCGAGGAGCUCCCUGCGCCCCUUCUCGCGCGCAGCGUCUGAUACGCAGACCUGUUGCGCGAGGCAAGCGAGCAGCAGGCAGGAAAACGAGGUCUUCAGAAUCACCAUUUCAACCUUAUAAAACCCGCAAACCUGCACAAAUAAAUGAUAAUGUUUAAGGACAUGUGGCUGGAAAUGAUGAAAACGUUUUCUUCUGACAAAUGUAAUUACUGCAAGUCGCUUUGGAUAGAAGCGGCUGCUAAAUGCCCUGAAUGUAAAUGUUUUAUGCCCCUCAAAAAAGGUCAAUACACCUAUAAAUAACGAAUUCUACGCCCCUAUCAAUUAAAUGCACUUCAUAAUAUUGUGUGUUGUUAUUCCAAUAGGCUACUUACUCAAAAUCACAAAUGGGAUGAUAGUCCUUGCUCAAAUCGAAUUGCAUCUACAGGCAUCCCGGGCAUCGCACAUGGCAUUUAUAGCGGCACGCCCACCGCUCCAACCCUACACACACAAACACAAAUAUGCGC